UACGUAGGCAGCGAGCGUUGUUCGGAGUUACUGGGCGUAAAGAGUGCGUAGGCGGUUUUCUAAGUUUGGUGUGAAAUCUACCGGCUUAACUGGGAGGGUGCGCCGAAGACUGGAAGGCUUGAGUAUGGGAGAGGUAAGCGGAAUUCCUGGUGUAGCGGUGAAAUGCGUAGAUAUCAGGAGGAACACCUGCGGUGUAGACGGCUUACUGGACCAUCACUGACGCUGAGGCACGAAAGCGUGGGUAGCAAACAGG
rnacentral:rRNA from 1 species